AAAUGAUAAGGAGAGAUUGGGUCACCUUGCUUAACCCCUCUGGAAGUUGUGAAACACUCUGAGAUCGUAUCAUUCCAAAGAAUCUUCAUAAAGUAUGAGCUAAGACAUUUUAAGAUUAAAUUACUCCAAAAAGCAGGGAAGUUAGCUCGAUGCAGUGUAUCAAUAAUGAAGUCCCACCAAAUGCGUUGAUAAGCUUUCUCCAAGUCUAUCUUAAGAAUCAUCCAUCCCAUAUUAGAUAGUAGUAUUAAAAUGUUAAUGUUCAUAUUUUGAAAUAAUUGAUGUAUUAUAUGAUGAUAUUACCUUCAUGAGAAUAUUUUGAGAUACACUGCGAAUUUUGAGAUUCUAAGAGGGGAGUUAAGUCCAACUUUUAGAGGAAACUUUGCCAAAAUUUUGUUUAAUAAUAUACAAAACUAUUUUUUAUUCAUUUUUAUUAAAACUUUGUUCUGUUGUUAUGUUGUACAUAUAGAAACACUUCCAAAGGGAUGAUGCGAUGAAUGAGCUUAUAAAGAUUGCAUGGAAGAGAAAGGCAGGUGAGAGGUAUAGGGAUAUGCUUCAUAAGCUUAAAUGUCAUGGAAAAAGGCCUUAUGUCCAAGAUGAUGUUUGGAAGAAGUGAAAUGAGAAUCAGAAAGCAUCAGAUUAUGUUGCAAAGCCUAUACAAUUCUCAAAGAAUCGGCGUAUUGAGAAGGGUGGCAAGGGAUUUGGUCCAUCUCGUCAUACCGGAGGCUCUAUCUCCCAUGUCGAACAUGCGAGACAUAUGGCUGUAGAGACUAAAUCAAUUCCUCUAACAUGUGAUGUGUUUCUUCGUACCAUACAAAGAAAGAUGAUAGGAAGACCUUUAUUGGCAAGCGCGCUGAGAAUAUAUUUGGGACAAUCCAACACUUCAAAGAACAAUGAUCCACACAGCAACCUGAAGGUGAAGAAACUCCUAUUGAUGAGUACCAGUUGUAUUUGGAGGCUGCAGGAGGAAAACAUAAACGUAGAGUCUACGGCAUUGGCUCCCAGGCUUCCCUCUUCUAUCCACAUUCUGGUAUGAGUGGCAGCUCAUUUAGUGCCUCAUCCACUUCGUCGGAUGCCAUGGAGUUGAUUCAUUCACUGAAGGAACAACAAGAUGCAUUUGAUAGAUUGCUUUAGGAAAAAACAAAUAUGAUUGCCCAAAUUCAUAGGCAUUUGCAAAUCAGGGCAAGCUAGCCACCAGCAUCCUCAGAUGCUCCUACUUCUAGCUUCGGUGUUGAUCCUACGACAGAUGGAGACGAAAAUGAUGUUCAAGGCUUGGAUGGUUAGAGGGAUAUCUCUUGGUGAACUUUUCUUUUCUUGAAUAUCUAUGAUUAAAAUGUUUACAUGUUUGAACUUAGUUACAAAUAUGUCUAGUGUUAAA